GACGAACGCUGGCGGCGUGCUUAACACAUGCAAGUCGAACGGAAAGGCCCUGCUUUUGUGGGGUGCUCGAGUGGCGAACGGGUGAGUAACACGUGAGUAACCUGCCCUUGACUUUGGGAUAACUUCAGGAAACUGGGGCUAAUACCGGAUAGGAGCUCCUGCUGCAUGGUGGGGGUUGGAAAGUUUCGGCGGAUGGGGAUGGACUCGCGGCUUAUCAGCUUGUUGGUGGGGUAGUGGCUUACCAAGGCAUUGACGGGUAGCCGGCCUGAGAGGGUGGCCGGCCACAUUGGGACUGAGAUACGGCCCAGACUCCUACGGGAGGCAGCAGUGGGGAAUAUUGCACAAUGGGCGGAAGCCUGAUGCAGCAACGCCGCGUGCGGGAUGACGGCCUUCGGGUUGUAAACCGCUUUCGCCUGUGACGAAGCGUGAGUGACGGUAAUGGGUAAAGAAGCACCGGCUAACUACGUG
rnacentral:rRNA from 1 species